rnacentral:rRNA from 2 species
UCAUGAUUUACAUUUGAGUGAGUGGCGAACUGGUGAGUAACACGUGGGAAACCUGCCCAGAAGCGGGGGAUAACACCUGGAAACAGAUGCUAAUACCGCAUAACAACUUGGACCGCAUGGUCCGAGUUUGAAAGAUGGCUUCGGCUAUCACUUUUGGAUGGUCCCGCGGCGUAUUAGCUAGAUGGUGGGGUAACGGCUCACCAUGGCAAUGAUACGUAGCCGACCUGAGAGGGUAAUCGGCCACAUUGGGACUGAGACACGGCCCAAACUCCUACGGGAGGCAGCAGUAGGGAAUCUUCCACAAUGGACGAAAGUCUGAUGGAGCAACGCCGCGUGAGUGAAGAAGGGUUUCGGCUCGUAAAACUCUGUUGUUAAAGAAGAACAUAUCUGAGAGUAACUGUUCAGGUAUUGACGGUAUUUAACCAGAAAGCCACGGCUAACUACGUGCCAGCAGCCGCGGUAAUACGUAGGUGGCAAGCGUUGUCCGGAUUUAUUGGGCGUAAAGCGAGCGCAGGCGGUUUUUUAAGUCUGAUGUGAAAGCCUUCGGCUCAACCGAAGAAGUGCAUCGGAAACUGGGAAACUUGAGUGCAGAAGAGGACAGUGGAACUCCAUGUGUAGCGGUGAAAUGCGUAGAUAUAUGGAAGAACACCAGUGGCGAAGGCGGCUGUCUGGUCUGUAACUGACGCUGAGGCUCGAAAGUAUGGGUAGCAAACAGGAUUAGAUACCCUGGUAGUCCAUACCGUAAACGAUGAAUGCUAAGUGUUGGAGGGUUUCCGCCCUUCAGUGCUGCAGCUAACGCAUUAAGCAUUCCGCCUGGGGAGUACGGCCGCAAGGCUGAAACUCAAAGGAAUUGACGGGGGCCCGCACAAGCGGUGGAGCAUGUGGUUUAAUUCGAAGCUACGCGAAGAACCUUACCAGGUCUUGACAUACUAUGCAAAUCUAAGAGAUUAGACGUUCCCUUCGGGGACAUGGAUACAGGUGGUGCAUGGUUGUCGUCAGCUCGUGUCGUGAGAUGUUGGGUUAAGUCCCGCAACGAGCGCAACCCUUAUUAUCAGUUGCCAGCAUUAAGUUGGGCACUCUGGUGAGACUGCCGGUGACAAACCGGAGGAAGGUGGGGAUGACGUCAAAUCAUCAUGCCCCUUAUGACCUGGGCUACACACGUGCUACAAUGGAUGGUACAACGAGUUGCGAACUCGCGAGAGUAAGCUAAUCUCUUAAAGCCAUUCUCAGUUCGGAUUGUAGGCUGCAACUCGCCUACAUGAAGUCGGAAUCGCUAGUAAUCGCGGAUCAGCAUGCCGCGGUGAAUACGUUCCCGGGCCUUGUACACACCGCCCGUCACACCAUGAGAGUUUGUAAC